UUUUUUUUCCGUAUGUCUCAUAAAAUAUUCAUCUGCGUGUUGACAUGUGAACCGUGGAGCAGAAAUAAUUCGGUAUUAGUUUAGGCCAAAAGAACUGCAUUUUCGGUAGAUAUAAACAAUUUCUUAAAGAGGUAGUUAAAUUAAUGCAUUUAAUAUCAUUCAGUGACUGAAAAGGAAAGAUGAGUUACAAAAACAGAGACAUUUAGAAGUGUAAAAGUGAGCAAUAAUAAUUUAGCCAACCUUCAAAUAACGACUGCAGCGUUUACUCUGAUUGUGGAACUGUUUUUUACAACUCUUCGCGGAAUCAGAAUAGACUUGAAUUUCCAUGGAUUCUACUUAGACACCGUUUACUUGACCAUCGACAAUAAUACGGGUGUCCAAUGGCAGCCGG
rnacentral:lncRNA from 1 species